rnacentral:rRNA from 1 species
CAUGUCUUUUUGAUUUUAUAAAAGGUCUGACCUGCCCAAUGAAUUAUUUUUGAAUGGCCGCAGUAUCUUGACUGUGCAAAGGUAGCAUAAUAAUUAGUUUUUUUAUUGAAAGCUGGAAUGAAUGGUUGAACGAGAAAUUUACUGUCUCAAUUUAAUUUUAUAUUGAAUUUUACUUUUAAGUGAAAAAGCUUAAAUUUUUCUAAAAGACGAGAAGACCCUAUAGAGUUUUAUAUAUUUAAUUUUUUAUUAUUUUUGGGAUUAUUUUUUAAUAAUUUAAUUAAUGUAUUUGGUUGGGGUGAUUGGAAGAUUAAUUUAACUCUUUCUUAUUUAGUUUAUAGAUAAAUAGUUGAUUGAUCCAUUAUUAAUGAUUGUAAGAUUAAAUUACCUUAGGGAUAACAGCGUAAUCUUCUUUGAGAGUUCUUAUUGAAAAGAGGGGUUGCGACCUCGAUGUUGGAUUAAAAUUAAUUUCUGGUGCAGAAGCUGGAGCUAUUAAGUCUGUUCGACUUUUAAUUUUUUACAUGAUCUGAGU